rnacentral:rRNA from 2 species
UACGUAGGGUGCGAGCGUUGUCCGGAAUUACUGGGCGUAAAGAGCUUGUAGGCGGUCUGUCACGUCUUCUGUGAAAACUUGGGGCUCAACCUUAAGCUUGCAGGGGAUACGGGCAGACUAGAGUACUUCAGGGGAGACUGGAAUUCCUGGUGUAGCGGUGAAAUGCGCAGAUAUCAGGAGGAACACCGGUGGCGAAGGCGGGUCUCUGGGAAGUAACUGACGCUGAGAAGCGAAAGCGUGGGUAGCGAACAGG